rnacentral:rRNA from 1 species
GACGAACGCUGGCGGCGCGCCUAACACAUGCAAGUCGAACGGAGUCAAGAGGAGCUUGCUUUUCUUGACUUAGUGGCGAACGGGUGAGUAACGCGUGAGUAACCGGCCGUGGAGUGGGGGACAACAGUUGGAAACGACUGCUAAUACCGCAUAAGACCACGGAUCUGCAUGGAUCUGCGGGAAAAGGAUUUAUUCGCUCUAGGAUGGACUCGCGUCCAAUUAGCUAGUUGGUGAGGUAACGGCCCACCAAGGCGACGAUGGGUAGCCGGACUGAGAGGUUGCACGGCCACAUUGGGACUGAGACACGGCCCAGAAUCCUACGGGAGGCAGCAGAGGGGGAUACUGCACAAUGGGGGAAACGCUGAUGCAGCGACGCCGGGUGGAGGAAGAAGGUUUUCGGAUUGUAAACUCCUGUCGUUAGCGACGAUAAUGACGGUACCUAACAAGAAAGCACCAGCUAACUACGUG